rnacentral:pre_miRNA from 1 species
AAAGUACUCCCUCCAUCCCAAAAUUCUUGUCUUAGAUUUGUCUAGAUAGGGAUGUAUCAAGUCACAUUUUAGUAUUAGAUACAUCUGUAUCUAGACAAAUCUAAGACAAGAAAUUUGGGACAGAGGGAGUAGUUG